GACGUAGGAUGCGAGCGUUAUUCGGAUUUAUUGGGCGUAAAGCGUGCGUAGGCGGCUGUUUAAGUCUGGUGUUAAAGCUAGGGGCUCAACCCCUGUGGUGCAUCGGAUACUGGGCAGCUUGAGUGCGGUAGGGGAAGGUGGAAUUCCGAGUGUAGCGGUGAAAUGCGUAGAUAUCCGGAAGAACACCGGUGGCGAAGGCGGUGAGCUGGGCAGUAGCUGACACUGAGGCGCGACAGCGUGGGGAGCAAACAGG
rnacentral:rRNA from 1 species